GAUGAACGCUAGCGGCAGGCUUAAUACAUGCAAGUCGAGGGACAGCACAGGUAGCAAUACUGGGUGGUAACCGGCAAACGGGUGCGGAACACGCACACAACCUUCCUUUAAGUGGGGGAUAGCCCAGAGAAAUUUGGAUUAAUACCCCGUAAUAUAGUUGAAUGGCAUCAUUUGAUUAUUAUAGCUACGGCGCUUAAUGAUGGGUGUGCGGCUGAUUAGAUAGUUGGCGGGGUAACGGCCCACCAAGUCUACGAUCAGUAGCUGAUGUGAGAGCAUGAUCAGCCACACGGGCACUGAGACACGGGCCCGACUCCUACGGGAGGCAGCAGUAAGGAAUAUUGGCCAAUGUACGCAAGUCUGAACCAGCCAUGCCGCGUGAAGGAUUAGGGUCCUCUGGAUUGUAAACUUCUUUUAUUUGGGACGAAAAAGGGCCUUUCUAGGUCAACUGACGGUACCAGAUGAAUAAGCACCGGCUAACUCCGUGCCAGCCGCCGCGGUAAAAC
rnacentral:rRNA from 1 species